rnacentral:lncRNA from 1 species
CAUCGACAGAAGCACUCCCACACUUAGAAAAAAAAACCUAAACUCCAAUCUAUGCCGCUUAAGAAACACUCAGAUCUCUUCCUCUUCAAACUGGCGCAGAUCUCCUCCUCUUCGAAGUAGCUUCGAUCUCUUCCUCCGCAACUCGCCAUGCCUCUCUCGACGGACAGCCGGACCACCAUCGAUGUUUAUGUGGUAAGGUUUAAGAUCGUGUAUUCAUAAUCAAUAUGGAGAUCCGUUUGAACUCGUGAAUUUCAAGGUGUUAAACUCUUAAUCUUCAUAACUUCUCUCUUUUAGAGUAUUCGUUUUGGCUGCUCUUUGGAUCUGAAUUGGAUCUUAACGAGUUCAAACCACUUUUAAAUGUUGAAUAAAAGUCUGGAAUCAUAAAGGCAAUGAGAAGCUAAGAUGAGAAAGGGAGAAUACUAAAGAAAGUAGCAGCAUGUCGAGUUCUAUUCGUCGUAGAGGAAUCAGUAGAGCAAAUCGAGCUAUAUGAGGAUUCACGCCACUUCCUAACACCGUUUGUUUCGUCGUUGAAGACCAGAGACAGACCGAGGUCAUGAGACACGCCGGGGAGGCUUGAUGGAAGAAGCAUUGCAAGCAACGGCGGCGGGGGAUCGUUGGCAAACGGAAUCUCGUUGCGGCGGCUGAGGGCAUUGUUACGUGAUUAGGGUUUUUUUUCUUAAUUUUUGCAUCCGGUUUAAUUUUGUAAUUGGUUCAAUUUUUAACUCUUAACCAAUUCCAAAUUUGGGUGGUUUAUUAAUAUCAAUAUAUAUUAAUUAAACAAA